rnacentral:rRNA from 1 species
AGAGUUUGAUCCUGGCUCAGAUUGAACGCUGGCGGCAGGCCUAACACAUGCAAGUCGAGCGGAAACGGCAGUAUUGAAGCUUCGGUGGAUUUACUGGACGUCGAGCGGCGGACGGGUGAGUAACGGCUGGGAACCUGCCCUGACGAGGGGGAUAACCGUUGGAAACGACGGCUAAUACCGCAUAAUGUCUACGGACCAAAGGUGGCCUCUACAUGUAAGCUAUCGCGUUGGGAUGGGCCCAGUUAGGAUUAGCUAGUUGGUAAGGUAAUGGCUUACCAAGGCAACGAUCCUUAGCUGGUUUGAGAGGAUGAUCAGCCACACUGGGACUGAGACACGGCCCAGACUCCUACGGGAGGCAGCAGUGGGGAAUAUUGCACAAUGGGGGAGACCCUGAUGCAGCCAUGCCGCGUGUGUGAAGAAGGCCUUCGGGUUGUAAAGCACUUUCAGCAGUGAGGAAGGUCGUGUACUUAAUACGUGCACGGCUUGACGUUAGCUGCAGAAGAAGCACCGGCUAACUCCGUGCCAGCAGCCGCGGUAAUACGGAGGGUGCGAGCGUUAAUCGGAAUUACUGGGCGUAAAGCGCAUGCAGGCGGUUUGUUAAGUCAGAUGUGAAAGCCCGGGGCUCAACCUCGGAACCGCAUUUGAAACUGGCAGGCUAGAGUCUUGUAGAGGGGGGUAGAAUUUCAGGUGUAGCGGUGAAAUGCGUAGAGAUCUGAAGGAAUACCAGUGGCGAAAGCGGCCCCCUGGACAAAGACUGACGCUCAGAUGCGAAA